rnacentral:rRNA from 1 species
ACUUGAGCCUCGGAUCAGGUACGGCAUC